rnacentral:rRNA from 1 species
AUUGAACGCUGGCGGCAUGCCUUACACAUGCAAGUCGAACGGUAACAGGCCGCAAGGUGCUGACGAGUGGCGAACGGGUGAGUAAUGCAUCGGAACGUGCCCAGUCGUGGGGGAUAACUGCUCGAAAGAGCAGCUAAUACCGCAUACGACCUGAGGGGGAAAGCGGGGGACCGUAAGGCCUCGCGCGAUUGGAGCGGCCGAUGUCAGAUUAGCUAGGUGGUGGGGUAAAGGCCUACCAAGGCAACGAUCUGUAGUUGGUCUGAGAGGACGACCAGCCACGCUGGGACUGAGACACGGCCCAGACUCCUACGGGAGGCAGCAGUGGGGAAUUUUGGACAAUGGGCGCAAGCCUGAUCCAGCAAUGCCGCGUGCAGGAAGAAGGCCUUCGGGUUGUAAACUGCUUUUGUCAGGGAAGAAAUCUUCUGGGCUAAUACCCCGGGAGGAUGACGGUACCUGAAGAAUAAGCACCGGCUAACUACGUGCCAGCCGCCGCGGUAAAAC